rnacentral:rRNA from 1 species
UGGGGAAUAUUGGGCAAUGGACGCAAGUCUGACCCAGCAACGCCGCGUGAAGGAAGAAGGCCUUAGGGUUGUAAACUUAUGUUGUAAAGGAAGAAAAGAAUGACGGUACUUUACGAGGAAGUCCCGGCUAACUAUGUGCCAGCAGCCGCGGUAAUACAUAGGGGACAAGCGUUGUUCGGAAUUACUGGGCGUAAAGGGAGCGUAGGCGGGAAAUUAAGUUAAGUGUGAAAGCCUUGGGCUUAACCCAAGAAAUGCACUUAAUACUGGUUUUCUAGAGUGUAGGAGAGGUAAGUGGAAUUCCUAGUGUAGCGGUAAAAUGCGUAGAGAUUAGGAGGAACAUCAGAGGCGAAGGCGGCUUACUGGACUAUAACUGACGCUGAGGCUCGAAAGCGUGGGGAGCAAACAGG